GGAAGGGUUCGCCGCGGGGCUGGCGGCGCCCCCGGGCCCGGGCGGGAGGGAGGCGUAGGGCUCCGCUGCGAGGCGACCGGAAAGUUAGGAAGGAGCCGGAGGUGGAGGCCGGGGGCGGGGGGCCGAGGGCGGCUCGGCAGGAAUUCUGGCCCCUGCUCCGUGCCGCAGGGCACCGGCCUCCAUGUCUGUGUCUAGACUCCGGCUGGCGGGGUCUGAUGAAGCCACGCGCGGUGAAGAUCGGAAAGCAGGGACCCCCCCCAGGGAACCCCCCCCGCCACCGCCGCCGACGUUUCGUGUGUGUUGCAAAACGUACAGUAUCCUGCGUAUUUGGAGCUGGCGUUGCGGACAGUCUUCUGGUCUUUCCCCACUCCCCCGCCCCCAUCCGUGGGCGUGGAUGGCUUUGAAAGGGUCCCUGCUGAGUGGCUCCAGCAAUGCUAAGUGAUAUGCAGUACGGUCAGCGGCUGCGGAUGGUGCAAACGGCACCAUGCAAAGAACCAUUAUUGAGACGUUCUUUCAAUGGAAAAAUUCACUUGAAAGUCAUGCAAGAGACUAUAACAAAUGUGCAGCGGCAAGAAAUACCCCAAGAACAUCAAAAGGCCAUGAAGAUCUGUAAGAAUAUGGUCGUGAAAGGGACAUAAGGGAUUAGAGGCUGCCUAUUGGUCUGAAUGACACUAAGAUAAACCUUAGGGGAAGUCCUAACCACCAUUAAAGGCCGCCUUUAGCUAUCAGAAUGUUUCAAAAUUCUGCUUCUCAAAGAGUACACUGUUCCAGGAUAAAUAAUGCAAGUCAAAACUCAUGCAAAAAGAAUAUAACAUCAAAUUCCAAACCGAGUGAUGGUUUUCAAAGUGAUGAGAAACAUUCAACCAGCAUGUCAAACGAAAUCAAUAAAAAUUAUUGAACACCUUUUAUGCUCAGGGCAUUUAUAGAAACAUUCUGCUGUAGAGAAGUUUAUCAUUUCAUUGGCACACAGAAUUUAUGAAAAAUGGAAUAAUAAAGGAUUUCAACAGAAGAAAUGAUUGGAGAAGCAACAGGAGAUGCUUAGCUGGAUUGGCAAGAAGCAUUGGCAGGAGGAGUUACCAACAGUAGAUCCUGGAGGGCUGCCAUCACUCCUACGCUAGUUGGCACUGAGGAAUACUUUCUGGAGGCUGGGAAAUCCAAGAUCAAGAUGCCAGGUGAUUCAAUGUCUGAUGAGGGCUUGUUUCCUGGUUCCCAGACAGCUAUCUUCCUGCUGUAUCCUGACACGGUGGAGAAGGCAAGAAAAUUCUUAGGGGUCCCUUGUAUAAGGGCGUUAAUCCCAUUUGCAAGAUGCCCGCGUGACCCAAUUGUCUUCCAAGGUACUUUCUUCAGAGAUUUAUAACUAAAUAACACCCUGAAAAAUUCUCUACAGAAGACAUCUGAAGCCAGUCCGGUGCUGAGUCUACAAUUAUCUGCUAAGAAUUUUUGGAUACUGGUUUAGAAGUAAGGUUGUGGAAUAUACACAUAUGUGUUUGUAUGUGGUUUGAUUACAAAGUUGGGGUAAGUAUAACUGAAUUGGAGUGGGAGAAAAAUGAAGGAAAAAGUAGAGAAUGAUAAUAAAAAGGAAAACAAUUUUAAAUUAACAAUUAGAAAUCAACUUGGAGUCCAAAGCCAGAUUCAGGGGUGCUGUUGAACCUUCUGACAUCCUCUGCAAAAUUUCAAGGAUAUGUUUGCAUGCGUGUCUUCUGGCAGAGGAUUUUCAUAAGCAGAUAAGCUAUCCAGGACGGCUUUUCUUCUUCUUUUUUUUUUUUUUUUUUUUUUAAUUUAUCCAGUGUUAUUGGGCAGGGUGCAAGGAUCUUAUGUCAUAGAAUCAUCUUAGCAAAUGCACUUCAAAUGAUUUAUAUUGUUUUUCAGAUUUUUUUUUUUAAAGGCUUGAAGGACAGAGGAAAUUCUCCUGCACACCAACAACCCUCCUCCUCCUAGAGGAUUCCUAAAGUGAUAGAUAAAUCCAUUGUUCCCUAAGGCUUGUUGAGAUGUCCUAGCACAUGCUAUAAUAAAAAAAUGUGAUGAGGUCAAGAGUUUGCACUUCGCCAGUCAAAUCCUUAGCUCAAAGGUUUUAAAUUUGGGAAUUCAUAUCACUUCUGUUGUCUGGAGCUAGCCUUGUUAAUGAGGAGCUGGAGGAGCAUGCUACCUAAAUAAAUGUGAUGUGUGGGUGGCCGGUGUGAACACAGGUGUUGAAAAGAUGGAAACUGGGCCUGGCCUCGCUGAGUCAGAAUCUAAUGAGGGUAGGGAGUGAGAGAACUACUAACCUGAUCCUAUAUGCUGCACCUAGGAGGCGGAGUUUGCUGGUGAGAGAUACUCCACAUGGACAUAAGGAGGGGUGGGAUGAAGACUUGAGAGUGAUCCAAAAGAUGGGACACAUCAAGAUUCUGCACUGGAGCCAUCUGUCCUCUCUGCUGAAUUUGGUAACAGACUGGAGAACUUAGCUGGUGGGCCCAAUAUAACCACAUGAGUCCUUAAAAGUUGAAGAGGAAGGCAAAGAAAGUGAGUCAGAGACAUGGGGAGAAAGAAGAGGGAGAAAUGAUUUGAAGAGUGAGAAGAACUCAACUUACCCUUGCUGACUUUGAAGAUGGAGGAAGGGAGAACUACUAAGGAAUGUGAAUGGCCUCUAGAAACUGGGAUUGACCCUCCAAUGACAACCAGCGGCAAACAGGGAUCUCAGUCCUGCAACUGCAAGGAACUGAAUUCUGCCAAGAACAGAUUAGCAAGAAACUGAUUCUUGCCAUGAGCCUAUGUGCAACUGACAAAAGUGGAUGCUUGCUAAUUAGCACAAGGACAAAAGCUGGAUGAGAAGCAGAGGGGCUUGGGAAAGAGGCUGAACACAUACUGUGGAGUCCUGAGAGACUUGGUCACAGCUGGAAGAUCGAGUGCCUGGAAGAGCCCAUAUAACCACACAGCUUGCAUCUGAUGCAAAGUCUCUGGGAAGGAGAAUCCUUUCCUCCAUUUACAGAUAUACUUUGUCUAUUCCUGCAACGUGAUAUGGAAGGCUUGUAUUUACCUUCUGUGUCUCUUCAUUAUAAAUCACUGCUAUGGAAAAUGUUAAUAAUAAACUCUUACAAGGUUUGCCUGGAUUAUUAACUAUUCCAAUGUUUUCAGCAUGUGGUUAUGGAUAAUUUACAUCAGCAUCAUCUGUGAAAAAUAUGGAUUUCUGAGCUUCCCCCAGAUUACCCAAAUCAGAAUCCAAGUCCUGAGAACUUACAUUUUAUUUUAUUUUUUAUUUUUUUUGAGAACUUACAUUUUAAAUAAACUUUCUAGAUAGUUGUUAUGCACACUAAAUCUGAAAUGCAGGCUUAAAUUAAUUUCCAUGAAAUUAGGGUUCACAUCUAUUUUGUUCCCUAAGCUGUUCAGCAUAUAACUCAAUGCCUAGCAGGCCAUAGUGGUUUUAUUCUUAUUUUUAAAUAAAAUAUCCAACUAGA